rnacentral:rRNA from 1 species
GCGAAGUCGCGAGGCUAAGCUAAUCUCUUAAAGCUUCUCUCAGUUCGGAUUGCAGGCUGCAACUCGCCUGCAUGAAGCCGGAAUCGCUAGUAAUCGCGGAUCAGCACGCCGCGGUGAAUACGUUCCCGGGCCUUGUACACACCGCCCGUCACACCACGAGAGUUUGUAACACCCGAAGUCGGUGAGGUAACCUUUUGGAGCCAGCCGCCUAAGGUGGGAUAGAUGAUUGGGGUGAAGUCGUAACAAGGUAGCCGUAUCGGAAGGUGCGGCUGGAUCACCUCCUUUCUAAGGAA